rnacentral:lncRNA from 1 species
UCAUAGUGGCAUUGUAACAAAUAAUUUGAUAAAUAUAAUUAAUAUAAAUACUGUAUAUCAUUGAUUAAAUCUAUGAUUAUUGAUACCAUAAAAAAAAAAUUAUGAGAUCAUAAAAUGACCCAUAAUGAAAAUUCAGCUUCACAUAGGUUAGACAAACCUAAUAUUUCUCUAUCCCAUUUAGCCAAGCUCAUAAAUUCCGAAUAAGUUUUCUCCAUUUGCAAGUUAAGAGUCUUAAAUUAGGAUUUGGAAAAUGAAAACAAAAGACUAAUGGAAAAAAGAGUUAACGGCAAUUUGUUUAUUUAGUUAGUUUUAGAAUUUUAAAUAACAUUUUUGUGCUUAUUAAGGAAAGUUAAGAAUAUAUCUAUCUCACUCAUAGAAUUACUUAAAGUUGUGCUAUUUGAACACAUCAAUUUACUGUCUAAACCCUCUAUUUAAAUUAAGUAUUUAUUUUUAAAAUAACUUUGGAUAAAAUCACUUAAUUAACCCUAUUUCUCUUUCUCUCCCAGUUCCUCAAUUUCACAACAGAUAAUUUUAAACUUUUAUCUUUCAAUUUCAUAUAAACAUUGACACUUGCUUCUCAACUUCUCAGAGUUAGUUUCAUAAUGGCUAUUACAAAGUGGGAGAUAAAAAACCUAUCAUAAAGAAAGAUACAUCAAUCAAUUUUUACUAGUUAUAUACAAAAAUCAUAAAAGUUUAUUUCGGUUUCAUAUUUAUCUUUGAACAAAUCUAAGAUGGGCAAAAGGAAUAGAAUAGUAAUAGGAGGAAAGAAAUAAAGUUUGAUGUACUAAGAAAAAGAAAAAAAAAAAGGAAUCAGUAGGCCAAAGAAUGAAAUUGAGAUUUCAAGAUGCAUAAUGUGAUAAUAAAUAGAGAAAAUAAAAAUUUUAUAAGUAGAGAGAGAAAAUGAUUGGGACUUAUUUUGAGAUUUCAAAAUUUUUAAUGUAUUUUUUUAGGUCAGUAUAUGGAGAAAUUUGGUGGAUUCAAAUAAUCUCACCCGUUAUUUAAUUGUCGUUUGCCAAUAUUUCCUACAAACCUUAAGAAGAUUUAGAUUAGGGGAGGAUCUGGAUCUAUUAAGUAAAAUAUUGUGUCAUUAAUUACACAUUAACGGUUUUAAUAUAAACACCUUGCCACAAAAAUUUUGCGUCAUAUAUGUGACAGUUGUUUAUAGUUAUUCAUUGUUACUAAUAAAUGGAUUAAGCAGUUAAUACAUUACAUCAUGAAACUGAUUGAUUUUGUGUUUUUUAAUAUCUUUUCUCAUAAAAAUAAUAAAUUGAUUAUAUUACUUUUAUUAUUUUAUAAUUUAUUACGGAUUGGUAUAAAUUAAGAAAUAGUUAGGGACAUUAUAGUACUUUAACAAGUCAACUUCCCUUUAAUGUUUGGGUGCAUUGUAUAAUUCUUUAGGGGGUUCAUUGAGGUACUCAAAAUGUUGACAGGUGGCCUAAAAUUUACCAACUUGAAUAUUCAUAUGGCAUUGAUUCUUAAAAAUUAAAGUCAAUACUUAGUUUCACUAUCUUGAGCAAUAGUCUUAUAUAAUAGAUUUGAAACGUUAAACAUUAUUCUUAAAGCCGUUGCAACUCGAGCAUCAGUUGGAAUCUCUUAAACUUAAUUAAAAUGCCUUGACAAAGAUAAUUGGACAUCAUGAACUAUAUCUAUAAUUAUUUAAAAAGAGGAAAUUAAAAUUGGAACACAUUGCUAUUAAAUAAUUAAGAUGAAACUCUUAGACUUUUUCGUUUGAAAUUUGUCCAUUGAGCCGUCAAACAUCAAGUUACGUGCUGAUUUAUGUUGUUCAAAAGGAUACAGUACAAGUGACAGGGAUAUAUACAACUAACUAUGCAUUAACAAAAUGAAGUCAAUGUUGGUCAGUUUCACUCUCACGAUCAACGGUCUUUUAAUUUAGCAAGCAUAAAAUACGGGAAAAGGACAUUAACAUUCCAAACGCAUGGCCAAUUGUACACGUCAGGGCUAGCUCAUGAUUAUGUUGGGCCUUAAGUAAAAUUUUCAAAUAAGUAUAUUUAGUUAAAAUUCAUUAUACGUUACGUGUAAAACUUUUAACUAACGUGAAUGUUUAAGGGCUAAAAGCGGACAAUGAUUCUCCUUAGGGCCGUUUGUUUUUUUUCAUUUAAUGAAUUAAUUACCUUAAUUUU